UGGGAAGUUAAAAAGCGUAACAAGGUCUCCGUUGGUGAAGUGGCGGAGGGAUCAUUACCGAGUUUACAACUCCCAAACCCAAUGUGAACGUUACCAAACUGUUGCCUCGGCGGGGUCACGCCCCGGGUGCGUCGCAGCCCCGGAACCAGGCGCCCGCCGGAGGAACCAACCAAACUCUUUCUGUAGUCCCCUCGCGGACGUAUUUCUUUACAGCUCUGAGCAAAAAUUCAAAAUGAAUCAAAACUUUCAACAACGGAUCUCUUGGUUCUGGCAUCGAUGAAGAACGCAGCGAAAUGCGAUAAGUAAUGUGAAUUGCAGAAUUCAGUGAAUCAUCGAAUCUUUGAACGCACAUUGCGCCCGCCAGUAUUCUGGCGGGCAUGCCUGUCCGAGCGUCAUUUCAACCCUCGAACCCCUCCGGGGGAUCGGCGUUGGGGAUCGGGACCCCUCACACGGGUGCCGGCCCCUAAAUACAGUGGCGGUCUCGCCGCAGCCUCUCCUGCGCAGUAGUUUGCACAACUCGCACCGGGAGCGCGGCGCGUCCACGUCCGUAAAACACCCAACUUUCUGAAAUGUUGACCUCGGAUCAGGUAGGAAUACCCGCUGAACUUAAGCAUAUCAAUGGGAAUCCCCCCCGGGGGGGGUGGGGGUUCACGAAGCGGUGACAUGUCUUCGAAACCAAGGGAACACGAGAACA
rnacentral:rRNA from 1 species